rnacentral:miRNA from 1 species
UGCAUUUGCACCUACACCUU